rnacentral:rRNA from 1 species
UGCCAGCCGCCGCGGUAAUACGGAGUGUGCAAUCGUUGUUCGGAAUUAUUGGGCGUAAAGCGCGUGUAGGCGGUUCGUUAAGUCAGGGGUGAAAUCCCGGGGCUCAACCCCGGAACUGCCUCUGAUACUGGUAGUCUUGAGUUCGAGAGAGGUGAGUGGAAUUCCGAGUGUAGAGGUGAAAUUCGUAGAUAUUGGGAAGAACACCAGUGGCGAAGGCGGCUACCUGGUCCGGAUCUGACGCUGAGGCGCGAAAGCGUGGGGAGCAAACAGGAUUAGAUA